UUUUAUGAUGACAAAGGGCCAUAGCGCCUGAACCUUAUAAACCCAGCUCUUCGAACGGUCUCAGUACAUGCUGAGAACGUCAUGAGAUUAUUUUUCUGUCUGAUCCA
rnacentral:snoRNA from 1 species